UGACAAAAAGUUAUUUUUAUAAAAAUAGCAACUGCAGCUUUAAGUAAAAGUACUAAUAUCACACUAUAUAUGUAUAUAUAUAAUAUGACUGAAUAUGAAGCUACUGCUAGUCUCCAUUUGUUCGGUUCUCUGGGAAUCCUCAUUUUCCAUCCUUCCUCAAAACAAAAAACACAAAAAGAAAUCUGGAGUUGAAGGAGGAGAGAAGGUUUAAGGAAACAAAAGAUAUGCAGGAGGAGAGGAGGGCAAGUUCAAUCUGACAUCAUAAAUUACCAGCAGCUCUUUAUCCCCUUCAUCAAUUUUUCAGAUGAGUCGGUGGAUCGAUGCGGCCGGCUCUCCUUCGCUCUAUUAAUUUCGACGUGAUGCCUUCAGUUGUCCUCCUUUUGCAGAGAAACACUGAGCCUGAUACCACGGUGUAGAAAUACUCUAUUACCAGUUAAAGACAUCUAUUCAUAAUGUCGCAAAAGUAUGAGAAGCCAAAAGAACCAAAAGUAAAAGCAGAAUGAACCAUUCCAGAAUAAUAUACAUGAUAUUAUUGCAUUAUAAUUAUUGAUGAAUUAAUGUGUUCAGCACUUUAAUUUUGCAGCUGGUAAAUGUGGAGCUCAUUUUAAUGAUUUUAUAUACUGCUGAGUCGUCUAAUCAGUGUUUUUCAAAGAAAAUCUGAGGGAAGAUGCUUAUUUUUUUCUAAACAGAAUUUAAUUACUGAUCCCCGGACGUUCAUCAAUCUGCAAUGUAACUAAAACUGUCAAAAUAAAGUUGAGUAGAAGUAUAAAAUGGCAUAAAAUGGAAACACUCAAGUAAAUCACCUCAAAAUUGUACUUUCCAUCAGUGGAGGCUUCACAUUAGAAAAUAAAGACCAGACAGAUUCUGUGUCUGAUUCUGUUUUUAUUGUCUUCAUUGUCUCAGUGUGUGAGAGCAGCUCUCAGGCAGCAGCCGUACACAUAUCUGUGGAUACUGAAUGAAAGCCAUAAUACCCACAAUAACAACAGAUUAUACCCUGUGAUAAACAAUAACACGCACACACCCCAGACGCUGCUCUUUGUUGGGAUUACGGUCACACCCAUACCUGGAAGCAUCGCUGCCAACACGAUAAUCCCGGUAUCCUCUGAGGGAUUAUCGCUCUGUUGAGUUUGAACCAAAAACCAACCUUCACUGAGCUGGAAGAGGGCCGAACAGCCGCGGGAGGCCAGAUGGAUCCUGAUGGAGGCAACGGAAUGUAUGAAAACAAAAAAAAUCAUCACAGAACCACAGGGGUCCGUUAAUGGACUUGGAUGAAUGUAAUGGGUCUAAAUGACCGUUAAUAACCUUUCAAAUCUGCACAAAAAGCAUAAAAACCCCUUAAUUACUCACCUCCAUCAACAAAUGAAUAAAUAAAUAAUAACCCAGGAACAAAUCUUUUAAAAACAUCUGAUACUAACUCUUAACUUUUGAGUUCAUCACUGUUGCAGGAGCAGAGGAAGGAUUUCUGGUCCAAUUCUAGCUGCUUCCGAGGUUACACAAAGAAGAGAAAAUGUCUAAAAAAGACCAAAUGUUCAGCAGAGUAUAAUGAAUGAUCAAUGUCGGAAACGAUGAGUAGUGAUUAAUACAAAACAUCCACAUUGAUUACAAUAAAACAUUUACCAAAUAAAUGAAGAACAAUGAGCCCGACGAAUAUCAACAAUACAAACAAUAUUAAGAUUGAUCUUCAUAUCUUCCAGGAAACUUCCAGAACGGGAUCGCAGAGGGGGAGGUGGACCCCACAUUCGGGCCCCUGGAGGCCAUGCGUCUCUCAGUGAUGACGGACUCGCCGGUCUGGGUGAUCCUCAGCGAGAUUUUCAUAAAGAAAGCAGACUGAAGCUCCUCUCCCCCCUCAGCGAUACCUCAGCACCUCCGAGCGUUCAGCUGAGCUGACCGGAGGCUCAUCAGCUGCCGUCCUGCUCACCAGAUCCCCACCGCGGUGCCACAGCACCGCCAUCUGGCCGGACUUCGCCACUGCAGGGCUGAUUGGAUCAGAGACUGAAAACACAGAUCACACAGCUGAUGAUAACAGCGUCUGCCACGACAUGCAAAAAGAGAAAUGAUGCUGUAAUUAACCUGAAGAGUCUGUAUUUAUGUGUACAUACAGUUAGUAAAUGUUAAACACUGGUGAUUGUGGAGGCGGCAGCGAGAGCGCCGCUCCACUUCUGAUGCUGAAACUGCUGCUUCAAAAGACUCAAAGGCUUCUUUCUAUGAGCAGAUGGUCGGUCCAGACCUUUCUACCAACCCUUUCCCACCAGUAUACCCCUUCAGUACCCCCUCAGUACCCCUGUAUGUGCGUAUAUGCAUAGAGAUGUACACACUAUCAUAUGAAUGCCCUCAGUGUGUCGAUAUGUGUCUGUCGUUGCUGCUCGGGUUUUACACCUUCUCCCUCCAUCAGUGAGCGAUUUGCCUUAACGAAGAGCAGAACAGAAACGAGCCCCAGACUGAAACAUGUAGCCACAACAAAUACCUAGAAUCCUCUGCUGCGACCUCGGACCUUCUCACAUCUUUGUGGCUUGAAACUACUGACGAUGACAGCUGAUCCUUUUCUUUUUUAUGAAUCUUUAAAAGUUGUUUUAUUUUAAGUUUACUGAGGCCUUGUCACUGACUGCUCUGUUCUACUGCACAGUACUUCAUAGUGCUUUACAGUACUCUAAAGUACUCUAGAGUACUCAAAUCUACUGCACAGUACUCUAUAAAGUACUCUAAGGUACUUUCCAGUACUCUGAUGUACUCUACAGUACUCUGAUGUAUUUUAUAGUACUCUUACGUACUCUAAUGUACUUUACAGUUCUAUACAGUAGUAGUAGUUUCCUCUGCUGUGCUCUGUAGUACUUUACUGUACUUUAUUGUACUUGUAGUCCAGUGCAGAAAUACAGAUUCAGAUCUUUUCUUGUCUUUCUUUCCGUUUUCAGUCUCUAAUAAAUAGUUAAAUUAUAAAAUUCUCCAAUAGUUUAAUUGUAUUUUUCCGUAAACACGCUGUCUUUUCCCACUUUCAGUCAGACUCACAUUGGCUCAGACGACACAAAUGUUCCCUUAAAUGAAUCAUUUGUGCAACUUUUCAGACCUUUUUUGUUCCCUUAAAUUUGAUAUUUGGUGCCUCCGCUGAUCGUCUUCGCUCCCUGAGCACCGGAUGGAUUUAUUUCAGUUUGAUUAUAACACUGAAUGGUUUGAAGUGUACUGCAGUGAACUUCCACACAGGGAUCUUUUAGACAUCGAUGUUCUUCCAGAUUUGUGUCUCUUUCAACACAACAAAGCCUCCAUAAAGAAACCGUUUCCCAGUUCGGUGCCGAAGAACUUGAACCCAUCCAACCCCUCUGUGAGUCGGACCUGAUCACCAGCAUCAGUGCUGGACCUCUUUAGUGGAUGUUCCCUGCAGCUGGUUCACAUCUGGUGACUGAAAGCAGCUUGUUAAUGAAAAUGAUGGUUAUACGGAGGAAGAUCAGCUGUCCACAUACUUCUGGCGUUUACUACACGUUACUUAUGUAAUGUUAACCUUAAAAAACAUUUAUUAUAUUUUCCAGUUACAUUAAGUGUGUUUAUAUUAGCACAGGUAUCCUGGAUCAGGUUUUUGGAGUUACGUGUUGAGCGUGUAAACAUCCUGGUUUCAGAGACCUGGAUAAGAUCUUAUAAAGACCUGAUCCAGGUUUCAUUCUUUGAGGUUCAGAACAGGUGAUGAGAAACCUGCGUACUGUUAAGAUCUUGUAAACACGGAAAUAAUUAUCCAUGUAAACAUCAUAUCCAGGAGUUAGCUUGUGAGUUAGCAUUAGUUAGCUAGAUGCUAAUAAGUUAGCUAAAGCUACAUUUCAAGAGUAACACGCCAACACUGACAGUUUAUGUGUUUAAUGAUGUUCCGACUGGCUGGAAAUUAUAAAGAUAGGGAAAUAAGAUUUUGAUAUGUUAUAUAUAUUAUUAAAAAUUAUAUUUUAUUAUAACACACACUGUAAGCUGGUUUGGUUGUGAAGCUUUAAGUUGCCGAUAAACCUGAUAAAAUGUUGUUAGUAUAAUAAAAUAUUUUCUCAGCAGUGAGUGAGACCGUGUGCAGGAAUCUCUGAUGGCACUGUACAGUCGCUGUAGUACUCGAGUCUCCAGACAUUCAUUGUCUCGAACUGGUCGGUCAUGUUGUUGUUUUUUCUGAAGUAACUUCCUCCUUCAAAAUAAAACUAUUAGUGAAGAGCACUUGUUCAGAAAACCAGGUGUUAAUACAUUUAAAUUCUUAAAAUCUCAUUGUCAAUGUCAACAGCAUUCUAGUCCUAGUCUUGGACCUCUUUGUUCGACUCAUCUGUCACACAUUAUUUUCUAUAAAACCAAAUUUAACCCACAAAUUGAGUCACACCAACAAACCCAGUUCUCUAUUGUUAAAUAGCACCAAUUAUUGAUUUAAGGGAACAGAACCAGUCAUUUAAAGGGGCAAACAUUCCCUCCAACACCUCCCAGACUGUAAUUAUUAUUUAUCUCACCCUUUCUGUCACACGUGGAUUCACUCACAGACCCAACAGAACCUCUCAGAUCUGAGCUGAGCGCCUCCGAGCUUCAGGAAACGUCCCGCCUCUUCUUUUCUGUUCUUUGUAAGAUGCACUGGAAUGCAUUGCUAUACUCUUGUGUUUGUCUUUUGUACCCUUUAGAUAAACUCUAUUUAAAUGAUCUUUAACUUCUACCCAAUCUGUGAAUUGUAAUAAAGACAGACAUUUAAA